UACGGGGGGGGGUAAGCGUUGUUCGGAAUUACUGGGCGUAAAGGGCUCGUAGGCGGCCAACUAAGUCAGACGUGAAAUCCCUCAGCUUAACUGGGGAACUGCAUAUGAUACUGGAUGACUUGAGUGUGGGGGAGGAAAGCGGAAUUCCUAGUGUAGCGGUGGAAUGCGUAGAUAUUAGGAGGAACACCAGAGGCGAAGGCGGCUUUCUGGACCAUAACUGACGCUGAGGCUCGAAAGCG
rnacentral:rRNA from 1 species